GAUGAACGCUGGCGGCGUGCCUAAUACAUGCAAGUCGAGCGAACAGAUGAGGAGCUUGCUCCUCUGACGUUAGCGGCGGACGGGUGAGUAACACGUGGAUAACCUACCUAUAAGACUGGGAUAACUUCGGGAAACCGGAGCUAAUCCCGGAUAAUAUAUUGAACCGCAUGGUUCAAUAGUGAAAGACGGUUUUGCUGUCACUUAUAGCUGGAUCCGCGCCGCAUUAGCUAGUUGGUAAGGUAACGGCUUACCAAGGCAACGAUGCGUAGCCGACCUGAGAGGGUGAUCGGCCACACUGGAACUGAGACACGGUCCAGACUCCUACGGGAGGCAGCAGUAGGGAAUCUUCCGCAAUGGGCGAAAGCCUGACGGAGCAACGCCGCGUGAGUGAUGAAGGUCUUCGGAUCGUAAAACUCUGUUAUUAGGGAAGAACAAAUGUGUAAGUAACUAUGCACGUCUUGACGGUACCUAAUCAGAAAGCCACGGCUAACUACGUG
rnacentral:rRNA from 1 species